rnacentral:lncRNA from 1 species
AACGUCCAAUUCCGUCCUUUGUCCCUCCUUCUCAGCGUGCCCCCUCCUUCUAGCAACACCACCCCCCUCCUCCUCUUCUUCCCCAGAAAUUCUUUACUCUAUUGUUCCUCCAGCCCCAGCCCCUCCGAGCUCCCGAGCUCCCCCAGCCUCAGCCCCAGCUUCUCCCUCCUCUCCCAGCUCCACCUCCCGCCCCCAGCUCCAACACUCCAACUCUGGUGUUCAGACCCCAUCUCUCCCGGAGCCCAUGUGACUGGCUCACCCCGUAUCGCCAUCCCCGCCGAGCUUCUCUCGCGGUCGGUCACAGGCACUGGGCUCCCAUUGGCAGACGCGCCAGCCCCUCCCCGCCCCUCCCCCCUCUAUAAGGCGGCGCUGGGCGGCUUCACCGCCGCAGAGCAGUUGUCGGGGCUGCUUUGUCCCUCCUUUCUCGCCCCCCGCCCAGCCCCCCGCCCCUCCCGGGAUGGUGCACGACUGGGAUUGAGCCACCCGGGCGGAGGUAGCACUAAGGUGGCCGCGUCUAAGCAGCGCCAUGGACGUGCAUCUGCAGCCAGGCCCACAUUAAGUGUCCGGAAGGGGUAGGACUUGGCAUUUCCGUGGCGAGCCGUCCCCCAGGAGUGACCAUGUCUAUUAUGGACCACAGCCCCACCACCGGCGUGGUCACUGUCAUCGUCAUUCUCAUCGCCAUCGCGGCCCUGGGAGCCCUCAUCCUGGGCUGCUGGUGUUACUUGCGCCUGCAGCGCAUCAGCCAGUCGGAGGACGAAGAGAGCAUCGUGGGGGAUGGGGAAACCAAAGAACCCUUCCUGUUGGUCCAGUAUUCGGCAAAGGGUCCCUGCGUGGAGAGAAAAGCCAAGCUGACCCCCAAUGGCCCGGAGGUCCACGGCUAAGCCGGCCCUCAUGGGGACUAAGCCCGGCGUACGGCCGGCGCGGACCCUGGAGCGCAGCCGUUUGGACGCACUGCUCUCCGACAAGACGCGAGAUCCCACAUCAUGCUCGGGGCACGCCGGCUUUUGUCAUUGCAUGCGCUGAGAGCCGCGCCCCGAACCUGGACUCCUCGGCCCGCGAGCCGGCCGGCCUCUCCGGCGGUGCUGUCCGUUGCAGGCAAUGGACGGCCCGGGCCCUGCUGGCGUAAUGGAAUCGGAGCGUUUUUGUUACUUGAAUGUCUAGCUGAGCCUGUUUUUGAUGGAGCUACUACUGUAAUGUGAACUAGCAAACUGUGAACUGUACAUAGGCCCCAGAAGCACUCGGGCUUGUGUCUCUCUAAAGUAAGAGAGCACGCGAGGCUGCUGGUCUGAAGAGACCGUACCAGCCCAGUCGCUAGGAAAGAGGGUCCCAGGUGUAAAUAUGUAAAGCGCCGUUUUUGCGUCCCGCGCAGACUCUAGGACACGAGGGAUGACGCUUCUAAGAAUGGGGCUCCUAUUGCGGGAAGCGCGAGGCCGCAGAAAGAACCGCUGAGAGGAGGAUUAGGCCGUUCCCUAGCAAUAGAGUCCCGUUCCUUGUAUGUACAGUCAUUGCAAGGACGCUGCUGUAUCCUCUGGGAGCCGGUGAAGGAUGCGCCUGCCCGAGGACAGUCCGGAAGGUUGCCAGGCUACUUUAUAGCAGCAGAGCAGUUUUUCCUGUGUUCUUAAUGCAUGUCAAAAGAAUAGAAACGUCUCUUCCCUUACGGCUGGCAUACUUUAGUGCUAGCUUGCUGUAACAGCUAUGAUGUACACAUGAACACGUUAUCAAGUCUGCUUAAGUCCAAACGAACCCAAGUGUCCCAGCAGAGACAGCAACAGACUAUUUCCUGCUAUUUCAUGUUUUCUAAACCAGAAGGCAAUGGCAAAAGAGGCUCGAGGAAGGCCGUUUCUAGAAGGUUUUGUUUCUAGAAACAAAAUUUCUAGUUAUUCUCUAUAGGUAUUGGAUUAUUACCUUCCUCAGCAAAUCAGUAUAAGCAUGACUGGAAUUCUCUCAUCAGGCCUCAAAAAUAUUCCGCAAGCAUGUGGUAAGCUAGAGGCAAGCAAGCAUUUUAGCGGUCAUUCAGAAACCCCUUCUGUGUGUGUAUGUAUGCAGUUUCAUGCUUCCCAGUACUGUCAGGAGAACUAACCAGGUUUAGGAAGGAAGGAAGGGAGAGAAGGUAGGGAAGGAAGAGAGGAAGGAAGGAAGCAAGGGAGAGAAGGUAGGAGAGAAAGAAGAAAGGAAGGAAGGGAGAGAAGGUUGGAAGAGAGGAAGGAAGGAAGAGAGAGAGGAAGGAAGAGAGGAAAGAAGGAAGGAAGAGAGGAAGGAAGGAAGGGCUUCUUCCAUCUUCAGGCGAAUGGCUUUCACCACAAUUUAGUCAGCUUCUCACUUGAAAAAACCCUCAAGUUUUUGCCCCUUCUCUAAAGUCACUUGUUUGUACACUGGUAUGAGUUUUGCAUUAGAAUAAUAUAGAUCUGACAAGGCACAGGGAGUAUUUGAAUGUUAGUAUUCCUUUAAGCAUUAAUGAUAAAACAAAGAAUAGGCGUGCCUAACCUCAUUUUGGAGGAAUCGGUAAAGAUUAGCCAAUGUGAUCUCUACACAACCAACAACUAAAUAUGGAAGUGACCCGAGCACACAAUUGUGAUGGGGAAGGCUGAGUAUAUAUAUACUAAGUAAAUAAUAUUCAUGUUAAAAAACAACAACAAACUAAAUGGGUUUCCAUCAUUGCUUCUUGUUAUUAAAAUUUUGUUUUGAUGGGAGGGAUUUAGACUUUACAGUAGCAGGGGUUCUUCCUGAACUCGUGUCAUGGCAAAAAAGGCAGUCUGGCGACACCUAAGGAAGGCACCCUCCAUUAGACUAUUUUAAAAUGCAUACAAUGAAUACAUAAGAUUACAAAGGAAUCUAAUUUAUUGAAAUACAGAUAUUAAAAUAUAGCUUUUUUAAGUUCAUGGGCCCCACGUUAAGAACCCCUGCUUUACAGUAAAAGCUUUAUCCAGCAUUUUGGGGAUACCAGUCAAGUUGCAGGUAAUAAAGUCACAUAUCAUUGGAGUCCCA